rnacentral:lncRNA from 1 species
CGUUGCAAAUUGUUAUGAUUUGAAGAGGGCUAGGAGACAUUAAUUCAAGCAUAUGCAGAUCUUUGCAGGUGCUUCUUCCUACAGAGCAGUCAAACAGCGGGACACUUUCUGGCUUCACAGUUACUGCGCUCCUGACAGGCUCCUUCUGGGAGGUGAGCUCCAAGACUUUCUUCAGUGCUGGAAGGAACGUGAAUUUUCCUAUUA